rnacentral:rRNA from 1 species
UCGAGAAUCUUCGGCAAUGGACGCAAGUCUGACCGAGCGACGCCGCGUGCGGGAUGAAGGCCUUCGGGUUGUAAACCGCUGUCAGAGGGGAUGAAAUGCAUGGGGGUUAUCCCCCAUGUUUGACAAAUCCUCAGAGGAAGUACGGGCUAAGUUCGUGCCAGCAGCCGCGGUAAUACGAACCGUACGAACGUUAUUCGGAAUCACUGGGCUUAAAGGGUGCGUAGGCGGCGCUGAAAGUUGGGUGUGAAAUCCCUCGGCUUAACCGAGGAACUGCGCCCAAAACUUCAGUGCUCGAGGGAGACAGAGGUGAGCGGAACUUAGGGUGGAGCGGUGAAAUGCGUUGAUAUCCUAAGGAACGCCAGUGGCGAAAGCGGCUCACUGGGUCUCUUCUGACGCUGAGGCACGAAAGCUAGGGUAGCGAACGGGAUUAGAUACCCCCGUAGUCC